GAAGUCCAUUAUUGAAAUAUUAACGAACCUUUUUCCCGUUAGAAAUCCGUAAGUGAAUUUAUUAUUUAUUUAAUAUAAAGGUUUUUCACUAACGGACUAAUCACAUCCGUUAGUGAAUUGUGGAGCCAAAUACACAAUCCUAAAUGAAAUUCCUAAAUCGUGUGCUUGGAAAAUCAAAAUCACUCUGAAAUCUGAACUUGCAUCCAACCUCUCGGUCGUUCACCGCCGCCGGCAUCCAUCGUCCACUGCCAUCAACGGUCCGCCGCCAUCCACCGUCGACAAGUGCGCCCUUUCUCGGCAUCACUGUCCACGACUGAGCCCGUAUCUCUCACCAGUCUUUCCCUUCUCGACGGACAGUGUCCACAGCCUAACCAACCUGGUUAUACUGCCCUGCUGCCUCCCCCUCCAGUAUAAGAUACUGCAAUUGAUAUCAGGCAAGUUCAAAUUCACUUAUGUUUGGUUCCAAAAUUAAUGACGUUAUCAGAUUAUCAUUUAGAUUUGACUUUGAAAUUCAGUAAUGUCUACACAUGAUAUAAUUACUGCAUAUUUUAUAUAUAAUGCAUAAUUUAAUUGUUGAUUUUCAGGCUCUAUUCAAAGAUAGGGCUUAUAAGUUUUUUGUUUUCAUAUCAGCAUCUUUAUUGUAGUUAAUAUGACUGCUGAAAGAAGUUGGAUGUAUGCCCGUCUCAGAGAUGGUUUACUGAAUCCCAGAUAUUUAGAGGGUAUCAAUGAAUAGGCUAAGACCUGCACAGAAUAUUUAAAUGGCGAUCAGAUUCGCUGUCCUUGCAAUCGAUUUAAGUGUCAAAACCGUAGCUUUCAAGAUGAAAAUACAGUUAAAUAUCAUUUAAUGAAGCAUGGUUUUGUGCAAAAUUACCUUGUUUGGUAUUUGCACGGUGAAACUGAAGUGCAUGACAGAUAUGGUGAUAUACUAUUAGACAUGUCUUACGGUUCUGACAGUGUUAAUCACCCAAAUUUCAAUCGUUUUGAGGACAUAGUCAUGGAUGCAACAAGCUGUCAUGUAAUGCAUAAUGAUACAUAUGAGAUGCCAAACUCGGUUGCACAGAAACUGUAUGAUAUGUUAAAUGCAUCUAAGCAAGAACUAUGGCCUGGAUGUGAAACUCACUCACAGUUAUCAACUGUUUCACGUUUACUAAAUCUGAAGGCGGAACAUCAUUUCUCAGAACGGUGUUUUGAUCAGAUAUGUGAACUCAUGAAGGAGAUGUUACCGAGUGACAAUGUCAUGACAGACAGCUUUUACUCAACAAAGAGACUAGUCCAAGGAUUAGGGCUUCUUGUACAAAAGAUACACUGUUGUGUUAAUGGUUGUAUGAUUUAUUGGGAAAAUGAUAAAAAACUUACACGAUGCAAAUUUUGUGACCAUGAAAGGUUCAAACGCCUCAAGCACACCGUGGGGAAAGGGAAGAGUCAAAUACCAUAUAAAAAGAUGUAUUACUUUCCCAUUACAGCACGUUUGCAAAGACUUUAUGCAUCGUGUGUUACAGCUAAGUAUAUGACUUGGUACAAUGACCAUGCAACUGAGGAUGGGGUGAUGCUUCACUGUUCAGAUGCUCCUGCUUGGAAGCAUUUCAAACAAACUCAUCCAACCUUCGCACUGGAGGCCCGAAAUGUCAGACUUGGCCUUUGCACUGAUGGAUUUCAACCAUUCGGUCAAUCUGGGCAACAAUAUUCUUCAUGGCCAGUAAUACUAACUCCAUACAAUUUGCCACCAGGUAUGUGUAUGAAAGAUGAGUACAUAUUCCUGACAAUUAUCAUACCUGGUCCCAAGAAUCCGAAAGAGAAGCUUGAUGUGUACAUGUAGCCAUUAGUGGAAGAAUUGAAAGAACUUUGGGCAAUUGGUGUGAAUACUUACAAUAUUUUCCAGCAGAACAAUUUUACCAUGCGUGCUGCUUUAAUUUAGACUAUUAGUGACUUUCCUGCUUAUUCAAUGCUCUCAGGGUGGAGCACAGCAGGACGCACUGCAUGUCCCUACUGUAUGGAAAACACAGAUGCAUUUACAUUAAAAAGGGGGGGGGUAAGCAAAUAUGGUUUGACAGUCAUCGGAAGUUUUUGUCUGACGACCACCCUUUCCGUCGAAACAAGAUAUCUUUUAUUAAAAACAAAAGUGUAUCGAAGUCAUCGCCGCCAAUUAGAACUGGGAAAUAUUUGCUAAAAGAAAUUGAGCAAAUUGGGUUGAGGCGGAUAAUAGACAUUGACAAUCAUGAAAUAAAUGGUCGGCUUUCAAAGAGAACUGGUUGGCGUAAGCGGAGCAUAUUAUGGGAUUUGCCAUAUUGGUCGUCAAAUAUGAUUCGCCACAAUCUUGAUGUAAUGCACAUUGAAAAGAAUGUAUUUGAAAAUAUUUUUAAUACAGUGAUGAAUGUGGAGGGGAAGACAAAAAACAAUAUAAAAUCAAGGGAAGAUUUAAAUGAAAUAUGCAGGAGACCAGAAUUGAAGAAAGAUCCAAUUAGCGAAAAAUAUCCAAAAGCAUGUUAUUGUUUGGACAACCAAUCAAAGAUGAUACUGUGUGAUUGGCUUAAAAUACUAAAAUUUCCUGACGGAUAUAUUUCCAAUCUAGGGAGAUGUGUUGAUAGUCGGAAGCUUAGACUUUUUGGUAUGAAAAGCCACGACUGUCAUAUUUUUAUGCAACGAAUUCUUCCUAUAGCUCUCAGAGAGUUCUUACCAAAUAAUGUUUGGCAACCAAUAACAGAGCUUAGUAAUUUCUUUAGAGAACUCACCUCAACUACACUUAUUAAUUGGGACAUGCAACGGUUAAAUGAACAAAUUCCUGUGAUCCUUUGUAAGCUUGAACGAGUUUUUCCUCCAAGUCUGUUUGAUUCAAUGGAACAUUUACCAGUACACCUUGCAUAUGAGGCAUUAAUUGUAGGACCAGUAUAAUAUCGGUGGAUGUACCCAUUUGAGAGGUACACGUACUAAUUCUUCACUCUCAUUCCUUAGCAUGAUGAAUUAAUUAGUAUACAUAUCUAAUUUUUGUUUCCACACAGUAGAUACCUAAGAAAGUUAAAGAACAAUGUCAAAAAUAAAGCAAGGGUUGAAGGUUCAAUAUGCAAUGCUUACUUGGUAGAAGAAGCAGGUGCAUUUUCUGCUCAUUAUUUUGAAGCACAUGUAAUGACCAGAUAUCGAAAGGUUCCAUGCAACUUGCAUGAAUUUGUCUCUGAUGAUGACGUACCGGGUAAAUUAAGCAUAUUCAAAUGCACAGGUAGAACUAUCGGAAAAGAAAAAUCCAGAUAUAUGACUGAAGAUGAAAUCCAAGCUGCUCAAACAUAUAUUCUAUUAAAUUGUCCAGAGGUCAAAACAUAUAUUGAGUAAGUAUUGGUAGUUAUACUAAUAGUCUAAUACCUCUUAUAUUGUACCUUAUUGUUAAACAUUACUUGUUUCUUUGUAUGUAUAGCAUUUAUGUAGAGCGAGUAAAGUCGGCACAACCAAAUAUCACAGAUGCAGCUGUUGAUGAAAAACUAGAGAGAGAGUUUGUCCAAUGGUUUUACAAGUAUGCCCAUGAAUUGCAGAACAAUGUAGAAAAUCAGCUUAUACAAGAUCUGGCAAAGGGACCACUCAGAAGUGUCACCACUUUUAAUGGGUAUUGUGUUAAUGGAUGUAAAUUCAACACAAUCAAUGAAAGUUCAAGUAGUAACUCAAUGAAUUUUGGUGUAUGUAUAAAAGGGAGUAAUUACAGUUCUGAAGAAAGUGACUACUAUGGACAAUUGGUCGAGGUGUUGCGAUUGGAGUAUCCAGGGCUACUAAUUAAGCGGACUGUACUUUUCAAAUGUGACUGGUUUGAUCCAACACCAAAUACGGGCACCAAGGUGCAUAGACAGUAUAGAAUUGUUGAUAUUAACAAUAAGCGUAGAUACACUAAGUACGAGCCAUUUGUAUUGGCCUCUCAAGCAAUACAAGUCGUUUAUGCUUUAUACCCGAGCAAGCGUCGUGACAAAAAUGAUUAGUGGGCUGUGAUGAAAGUUAAAGGUAGACCCGUUGUUAAAGUAUCUCAAACAUCAUCAAAGACAUAUGAACCUUUUCAAGAAGAUGACCUAGAUUACACUGAAGUAAAUAUGGAUGAUAUUAAUCAACAACACUGCCUGAAUGAUCCUAGCGGAGGAAUGAUUGAGAUUCAUAAUGACGUUUCGACAGAGGAAGACGAAUUCCUUAGUGACCCUGAUUCCGAUGCAGAUGCAGAUGGUCAUAAUGAGUUCAAUUCAUAUGAAUCAGACUAAAUUCAUUUAUAUUGUAAAUCAGUUUGGAGUUGUAUAUUUCAUUUAUUUAUCAGUGAGUAACUUAAUACAUUUGUACAUUUUUAAUUUAAUGUUUAUGAACUUUAUAUUAUUUUUUGCAAUGACAAUUUUUGUUUGUUCACAGAUGAGGGGACGUGGAAGGGUUAAGAAGCCCAGAGGACCGGUUCAACUUCCUGCUAGUGCAAGUCAAGAGGACGCGACUACAGAUGAGGGACAAGAGCAUGAGCCGCAUUUACCACGGGCACCGACGGGACUUGGGGAUAGGAAACUUCAGAUAUGGGUACCACUUGCAUCCGGUGUAUAGCCAUAUCAUGGAGAUCGAUCAUAUACACCAGUUCCACCACGUACCGAUGCACAACUUCCCCGUCCCCUUCCACCUCCUCACCGUCACAAUCUACAUCCUCACCGGCCUACUGCAGCUCCACGACCAGCGGUAUCACAUACACAUUCACCUCAGCCUGCAUCCCCUUCUGGUACUGCAUCAGCUAGAGGGACAGGAUCUGCAUCAGCAUCUACUCCAUCAUCUGCUCCUGCAUCUGCUCCAGCAUCAGCUGCAUCGACCACUACUGUAGGCGGAACACGGUCAUUCCGACAGACUAUUUCACUCAUUAACAACAAUUUACAUUCGUCGGAGAUGUACAGCCACAGGAUUACUCUGAUAGUGAAAGAAAGAUUGGUCGAGGAAGGCCACUGUUGGAAGACAGUGCCCAAUGAAACUAAGGAGUUUUAUUGGCAGGAAUUCAAGAAAUACUUCAUGUGGGCCCAAGCAAUUGACAGCUUGGUAAAAAUUGCAUGGCAGAAAAAGGCAGCUGAGCGAUACAGAGGCUUAAUGUGGGAAAUCAGGAAAGGAAAAAUGAAGAAUCUUGCUACACCAGAUUCU